rnacentral:rRNA from 1 species
GAAGAGCCAUGGCGGCAAGCACAAGGGGUCAGGAGGGGAGGGGGAGGAGGGAUCAGCAGGAUGCUGAGGCAACACAAGGACAGGCUCUACAUCAUCCGGCGAUGCGUCGUCAUGCUCCUCUGCUACCAUGACUGA